rnacentral:rRNA from 1 species
CUACGGGAGGCAGCAGUGGGGAAUAUUGCACAAUGGGGGAAACCCUGAUGCAGCAACGCCGCGUGGAGGAUGACACUUUUCGGAGCGUAAACUCCUUUUAUAAAGGAAGAAGAUGACGGUACUAUAUGAAUAAGCGCCGGCUAACUCCGUGCCAGCAGCCGCGGUAAUACGGAGGGCGCAAGCGUUACUCGGAAUCACUGGGCGUAAAGAGCGUGUAGGCGGAUUAAAAAGUCAGAAGUGAAAUCCUAUAGCUUAACUAUAGAACUGCUUCUGAAACUCUUAAUCUAGAAUAUGGGAGAGGUAGAUGGAAUUUCUGGUGUAGGGGUAAAAUCCGUAGAGAUCAGAAGGAAUACCGAUUGCGAAGGCGAUCUCCUGGAACAUUACUGACGCUAAGGCGUGAAAGCGUGGGGAGCAAACAGGAUUAGAUACCCCCGUAGUC